rnacentral:rRNA from 1 species
UGCGUAGGGGGCAAGCGUUGUCCGGAAUUAUUGGGCGUAAAGAGCUUGUAGGCGGUUUGUCGCGUCUGCUGUGAAAAUCCGGGGCUCAACCCCGGACUUGCAGUGGGUACGGGCAGACUAGAGUGUGGUAGGGGAGACUGGAAUUCCUGGUGUAGCGGUGAAAUGCGCAGAUAUCAGGAGGAACACCGAUGGCGAAGGCAGGUCUCUGGGCCACUACUGACGCUGAGAAGCGAAAGCAUGGGGAGCGAACAGG